GUUUACUGCGUUUUCUGUGCCCUUUGCCUCGCUGUGACAUCUUUGGUAUAUUCCAACUUGUUGCUCGCUCUUUAUAGGCUACACGUUGCCUCGAAGAUCACCAUGAUCGCCUCCGACUCAGCCACAUCGAAGAAUCAAAAUGAGGCUGGAGACACCACAGCCGGAAUGCGAAAGGUUGGAGAAGUGCUCAUUCAGAUGAUCCUGGCACAGCUUGC